ACAUGCUUAUACAAUGGCAUUAAUGCACCGGAUCCCAUUAGAACUUCACAGUUAAGCACGCUCAGGCUAGAGUAGUAUUGGGAUGGGUGACCGCUCGAGAAGUCCUAGUAUUUUACAUGCC
rnacentral:rRNA from 1 species